rnacentral:rRNA from 1 species
AGCGAACGCUGGCGGCAGGCUUAACACAUGCAAGUCGCACGGGCACUUCGGUGUCAGUGGCAGACGGGUGAGUAACACGUGGGAACGUACCUUUUGGUUCGGAACAACUGAGGGAAACUUCAGCUAAUACCGGCUAAGCCCUUACGGGGAAAGAUUUAUCGCCGAAAGAUCGGCCCGCGUCUGAUUGGCUAGUUGGUAGGGUAAGGGCCUACCAAGGCGACGAUCAGUAGCUGGUCUGAGAGGAUGAUCGGCCACAUUGGGACUGAGACACGGCCCAAACUCCUACGGGAGGCAGCAGUGGGGAAUAUUGGACAAUGGGGGCAACCCUGAUCCAGCCAUGCCGCGUGAGUGAUGAAGGCCCUAGGGUUGUAAAGCUCUUUUGUGCGGGAAGAUAAUGACGGUACCGCAAGAAUAAGCCCCUGCUAACUUCGUGCCAGCAGCCGCAGUAA